UCUUAUUCCAUCUGUUCUUAAUGAGUUUUAGAUAAUUUUAGUUGUAUUUCUUUGUAAUUUUGUGUUGUACAAAGAUUAAUUUAACAUUUUCUCUGGAAGUAUUAAUUUAGAAAGAUAAUAUGCUUCAUUGGUGUUGUGUUUUGAAGUGUGAAAUGCAAAGUAAUUGUGAUAAAGUCAAGAUAAAGUUCACUUUUAAACUGAACUAAAUAAGGUAUCUGAGAGACAACAAUGGUUAAAUGCAAUACAAUGUACAGGUUUUACUAGCGAAAUGAAAAUUUUCCUGUCCUGUCUGCUGUAAUCAUUUUAUAUCUGGAAAACCAGCCGACUUAAUCGAUAAUAACAAUCUCCAGAUUGGGUUCCUUCAAUAAAUAUGGGCUAUUAACACAAUGAAAUAAGUUCCAGAAAAUCUAAAAUGGAGUGGUAUCAAAGGAGAAUUAAAGGAAAAAAUAUUCAUAUUGAAAUUAUUUAUAAGGCACUGGACUGUCUUAAAUUCUACAAUAAUACUAGAAUCAGCUGAGAGAAGUGGUCUACAAAAAACCAGGAAGGAAACGGAAUAUGUGGCUACGAAAGGCAAAAGAAAGGUUUACAAAGCAAAUGUGACACAUUUUUUUGAAAUAUUUAGGAAUAUCAGUAAAUU